AAUCACGAUUUCUCGAAUGAUCACCAAAGUUAAGCAAGGUUGAGCCUGCUCAGUACCUAGAUUGGUGAUCGCUUGGGAACACCAGGUGCUGUAA